UUGUACCGAUGUCGUGGAGGACCUCCGUGUCACCGUCCCUGAGGAAGAGCCUGGCGGGCUGCGUGGUGUUGUUGCAGAUGAGCUCGAAGUCGGGGUCCCGGAAGCAGCCAGCGCCGAUGCCGAAUGGGUACGUGAAGCUCAGGUUGCCGCACGUCUUGGAACAGCCUGCAAGCGAAGCCGUAGAGGGAAUGGUCCCUCUGCUGGAUCCUUGCGACGCUGCAGACACAAGUAGAAGCAGAGCAGCCAGCAGCAGUGCAUCAAGAGCAAGGAGGCCCAUCAUGGCCCCGUCUACGAAGCAACAGCUCACUGGCGACUAAAAGUGAUCGAUGUGGUUGAUGCCUUGAUGAUGCUCACGUAACUGUCGAACCGGAAUUUAUAAGUCUCCCAAGAACACAGCUGUGCAGGAUAACCUUUUUCUUGUCUAGUGUCAAGGAAUUAGGAAGGGAACGGUCGAAUGAAUGUGUCUACAUCGAUAGAUUGUAUAAAACAAAUAUAAAUCUUAUCUUUCUUGGCUCAUACACUGCAUGAAUUUAGUAAUUUGCCAUGUGGCACGCAUUCGUGCACUUGGAUGCUUGGUCUGGUCUGAUAUGUCGUCAUGGUCGGUGCAGGAUUAGAAGAUGCUUAACUCAGGUCAACCGUCAACUACUUGCAGGACUAUUCUACUGCUGCGGCAGAAGCUUACUCGCUGCUGAAUAAAUCCAUGGCCCCUGCCUGUCAUCUUUAUUGUUCUGUACGUCAACAACAACUCCUAUUACACGCUGCUUUGAUGAAUUCCCGGUCUACUAUGAUACUCAAAGUAACACUGCUUCGAAAUUUCCCAAAGCACUAGGAUAACCAAGGCACACUGCUACCGAAUUUUUCGUAGUAGAGCACUAGCUAGGAUAAUCAAGACAUGGCAAUCAAAGCAGUUGGAUGCUUGCAGCCUGGUCUGCUAUGUCGUCACUGCUCAUCCUAACACAACAAAAAACUAAUCGCCAUGAACCUUUGAAAGUCAUGCCUUUUGGGACCUACUACAGGUUUCUUUACCAAGAUAUAAAAACUGCAGCCUUCGUUGAAAAAAAUGACCACGCAUGUCCCAGGCAGACGGAUUAAGAAGUACUCACUCCGGUCCAAAACUAAGUUUAUUCAAGUUUGGAGGUCUAAUAUUUUUAAUUGUUGCCAUAAAGAGUUUAUAAAUCACAUAGAUGAUAUAAUAAAACUGGUGUCCCACUAUAUUUAUUAUAUGAAACACUUACUAUAUACAACAUUUUUUACAAAAAUACCAUAAACUUUUAUAAAUGUUAUUAGUCAAUAUAUCAUAUAUACCAGAGAGGCAGAGACUGCAUCAAUGUUCUGAUUGACUCCAAUUGAGAUACGAGGGAGUAGGAAAACAGUUGCCGAGGCUUGGAAGUUCCAAACUAAUAAUGUUCCAAACUAAAGGACAAGGCUGGUUGGUAGGGUUAGUAUUUGGGGAGGUAACUUGAUGUUGUGUGGGAGCUGUGUAUAAAGGGUAUGUGGCUUAGCCACUAUUUGUGAUCCCACCAUAAGAUGAAUAAUGGGACAUCCAUAGCAAAUAGGAGUGGAGGAUGUCAAGCUUCCAUCGGUGAUGGGCUUUGAGACUUUGAUAUGUACCUUUAAUUUCUUAGACCGGAAGUACUCAGCCCUAGAAUCUGAACUAGAACAGUACCUGGAUGUAUCCUUCACUCCACGUAUCUAGUAGUUUAAUAUUUUCAACUGGUGGAAGCUUAAUGCAGUUAAGUUUCCAACCCUCUCUAAAUUGGCCCGAGAUAUCUUUGCCAUUCCUAUGUCCAUGGUGAGCAGUUGCAGCUACAUACUCUCUGUUGGAAUAGGAACGAAGUCACAUGCUAUAAGAUUACAGAACCUCUCUUCCUCCUUGGAUCGUGGACACACUUUUGUGUUUGCUAAACACUUGCUCCAAUACUCACCAUCAGCCAACGAGUUGCCAAGUUCUGCAAUAGUUAAGGCCAAGGAUCAUAAGUCACUUCUUCUCUAAGCAUGUCUGAAACUGCUUGGAAUGAAAUGUGAACGAGAUACAUUCUGCGAUCUUCAACUAUUGUGAUGGAUCCAUGAAGCCUGUAACACAAGAUCGAUGCAACCCAUGGACCAUCCUACGCAAAAAAAAACCUAGAAACCAUAACCAAUUUCACAAAUCGAACAUUUUCCUUAAACCUUAAAGAAAUGCAUGAGAGACGCACCCACGUUAACGGUGCUGACUUGUGGCGUGUGGGAAGAUGAGUCCACUGAAUCCUGAGACCCGGAAGGUCCACCACUCCCACACAGGUGCGAUGACCCCUAUCUCGAUAUAAAAACUUCUGUCACCGGUGACCGAAGUCUUGGGGCUAGCCUGCUAGGGCUCCAGCUAUCACUGCCAAUCCUCUUGGCGGAACUUCCUUCAUAAGUGCCCAUCACCGCCCAUCUCCAAUACACACAACGAGCAAACCGAUCCCUUUUCUCGGAAGAGGAUAUUGCGGUGAAAAGGACAAGGCUGGUUGGUAGGGUUAGUAUUCAGGGCUGUAACUUGAUGUUGUGUGUGAGAUCAGUAUAGGGGGUAUGUGGCUCAGCCACUAUCUGUGAUCCCACCCUAAGUUGAAUAUUGGGCCCUCCAUUGCAAAUUGGAGUGAAGGAUGUCCAGCUUCCACGGGUGAUGAGCUUCUAGACUUCGAUAUGUACGAUUCAUUUCUUGGAUUGGAAGUAUCCCUAAAAAUCUGAACUGGAGCAGUACAUGGAUGAAUCCUUCACUUCACGUAUCAAGGAGAUAAAUAUUUUGAACUGGUGGAGUCUUAAUGCAAUCAAGUUCCAACCUUCUCUAAAUUGGCCCAAGAUAUCUUGGCCAUUCCUAUGUCCAUGGUGAGCAGUUGCAGCUACAUAUUCUGUAUUGGAAUAGGGACGAAGUCACAUGCUAGAUGAUUGUAGAAGCUCUCCUUCUCCUGGGAUCAUGGAGACAAUAGUUUUGUGUGUGCUAAACACUUUUGCACUGGCCAAGGUCUCAAGGAUCUAAGAUUAUUGUGGUCAGUGCUUCCUUUGUGAAACAUGAAUGCUAUUAAUUUAUCUAUUGUCUAUGAGUUUAGUUAAGUGUAGAUAGGUGAUAGGACGAAAUUGCGACCUAUUCCGGUAUUUAUCUGGUAGGAGCACUUUUGUUUACAUAAACACACUACCAGGAAAAUGACUUUCCAUCCCCCACAUAGAUACCGGGUCCAAAUUUCAUAGCCGUUGGAGGCCUUUUAGUGUACCUGGUGGUGUUACCACACGAUACUAAUGCUUCUUGAGGUACUAAAAGUCAUCUUUAGUACUAGUUGGCAUUACCACUCAGUACUAAAAUGUUCUCCACGGGUUACUUCAAAAGGAAAGCAUCUUUUACCCAGUGACAUGUGCUGUGUAGGUGAGAUAAUAAGGAAUGUUAUGUGAGACAAGAGUUCCCAAUAUUGAACCCCACACUCUGCGCACAUGCAUAUUUUGCUUGAAAAUUUGCGUGACUCGUGACAUGUGCCGUGUGUGAGCCUCCCCGGGAUUUUAAAUUUUUUUCGACCUUUUAGUACCAGUUGGAGUUAGAUGUUACCAAUUACGAAUCCGGUACAAAAUAGGGGUUUGGAAUCGGUACUAAAUGUCGACUCUCUAGUAGUGACAAUAACAUCCAUGUGUUCAUUCUAACGUGAGUCAUGCUUAUUUUGCCGAUCAUAAAAUAUGUUUAUAACACACUAUCAGAUGGCGGCACGUUCCUGACGGCCAAAAACCAUAAGGAAAGCCCCGAAAACUGCUAGGAAUAUGAUUCCCAAUGACCGUUAGGACACGGCCAACAGGAGCAGCUAGACAGGAAAGACACUGUUUCCCUGAUGGUUGGCCGACAGGAAAUAAUUCCUGACGGUAGUUCACAAAGGUUUAGAGCCCACCAGUCAACCGCGUCUCACGUCAUAUUUACCAUCAGGAACAUACCCCGACAGGAGUUACCUUUGUUUUUUCUGACAUAUCAUAAGUCAGAAACUUGGAACAUACCCGGACAGGAGUCAACCCGUUGGCAGCAACAUGUACAUAAGAAAACAAAAGAAACAGUAAGGUAUUGCAUCUGCUUACUUGGUUGGGCAUAAAGGUUUGUUGCAUCUCUGCAGGUAUUUCCAUUUCAAACUUGUAAUAAAGUGCCUGCAAAGAAGACGAAGUACCUCAAAAAGAAAAAGAAGAGGUAGACAAAGUAUGUAAAUGGCCUUAUCAUAGAACCACGUAAAUAGCACAUUUAAGAGAAGCAAUGAAUUGCAUGAAACCAUUUGCCUUGUCUGGCAUCUGUUUAGAGCAAUGCUGGAAACAAACCAAAAUGAAAUGACUCUCCGUAGUCUAGAAAUUGACAUUCUUGUUACUACCUAGCUACAUGUACAUUACUAAAAUGUGCAGUGCUUUCUUCAUAGAAAAAGAAUAAAGAAGCAGCAUCCUAAAGUCAUAAAUCGACAAGAGAAUAAAAAUCACCACUGCAAAAAUUCUCUGAAUAAAUUACCUUCCUUAUAUGUAAAAUGUUCCUGUAUCUAAUUGCAUUAUAAAAACUCCUAGCUGAGUGAAAAAAGGAAGAAUAAACAAUUAAAUGCACUAGCAAUCAAAUUGAUAAAUUAAGUCUUUCCUACAAUCUGAACCCAAAGCAUACAUGCUAUGCCGAUGACACUAGUUGCCGACUUAAUAUGAGAAAAGGAUAAAUAUUUUGGUAGUUGCAAUCUUUUCACAGAACAUAUUGAAUUUUGUAAUCAUGAUACAGAUCACUCAAUUACUAACCCAAAGAUCACUACAAAAUGUCUUAGGUUUCAGUUAUGGUGAGACUGCAGAUCCCUGCUUGCUGCUGCCUCAGUACUUGCAAAACAUAAAUGGUACCAUAUCGCAUUCAAGCCUGUAUUGUCAACUGCUGCCUCAGCACUUGCAAAACAGGAAAAUAAACAAGAAACAAAAUUAUCCAUCGGUACUGUGAACUGACCUUAGAAUUUUGGCCGACCUCAUGAUUUUUGGUUGAACGGUGACCUCCCUCCUUUGCCUAUUGCGGAUUUCUCCCUUUGAGCCUCUUCUGGAUCUCCCCGUGAGAUUCUUGUGGAUCUCUCCAUCUGACUCUGAUCCCCUUUUGCAUCUCACCGUGCGCCUCUUGUGGAUGUCCCUUGCACCUCUUAUUAAUCUCAAUGUGGAAACAACGGCGUGUGGGGCAUCGCUGUGUUGGGAUGCGACAACGCAUGGGGGUGGCGGUCAGGGAUGCCCUUGAUGGGUGGCGGUGACGCCGGUGGGAUGAGGCUGCAGCGACAAUGGUGGGAUGAGGUGGCGGGUGGAUGGAUCGAACACAAAUGCAUGGGGCGGCGACGGAGUGGGUAUGGUAGCGGGGGACUGAGGGGUAGGUGGGGGAGGCGAUUAGGGUUGGGAGGGGAUAAGGCUCCAGCUACUAUGCAUCGCAGGAUGGAUUGGAGCCUUGGAGGCAAUAUUUUACAAACCAGUGGUCAGAUGUGGGCCCAAAAAAAGCUGACAUGGCAUUUUUUUCUUCGAUUCUUGGAGUUGCGAUUUUUUCUCACCCGCUACCGGUUUUCCCAUGCAGCUGGGGCCUGAAAUCGGGGCUUCUUAGGAAAUCCCGUCAGUUUCACACGAUCGUCAGGAACUACACAUUUAUUCAUGUCGGUAUUUCAGGUUCAUGAGGGUUUCUACAAACCGAAAGAAGAAAAUGUAGUAUUUCCCAUCAGUUUUGCUCGGCUGAUGACAGGAAAGAGGUCUGGCUCCAAGCAGUUCUCAAAAAACCGACGGGAACCUCCUGUUUUCUGGUAGUGACAGGAAAUGAUCCUUUCGUGAAGGAUCAUUCCAUAUCUGCGCUUUGAUCAUGCUUAAUCUUCUGUGCCGCAUACACUGAAUAUUAUAUUUGUGAAAUGUUUACGUGGUGAAGCAAGUGAUUAGUUUUGUAGUACCAUCCACCAGUUGGUUUAGUUCAGUCUACUAUUUUUGUUUGUCUAUAAUGUCGCACGUUACACGUUCUUCAACAUAGCAGCCCCUCUCCCGUCAAGGCCUAAGGUCGUGUUUGUGUUAGCUACAGCUUUUGAGCUUUUCUAAAAAGCUGGUGCUCGCUUUUUGUCUUGAAAAGCCAACACUAGCUUUUAGAAGAUGUGAUUAGCUUUCUGAGCUCAAAAAGCUACGAAAAGCUGGUAAAACUAAGCUUUUCAGGGUUUUUAUAUAUAUAAAGUUAGCUUUUCUGAGCUUGCAGCUUUUUGGAAGCUACACGAAAAGUUCGCUGUUUGUUUGAGCUUCUGGCUUUCCAUGCUAAAAACCUUGGAUACCUAGGUCACGAGCGGUGUCGAGGACCACAAAGUCCACGGGGGACAAUAGAACCUUGGAUUCUUCUGGGAGGUUUUCUACCAUCCCUUUGGGCACUACUAGAAAAAUCACCUCUCGUUCCGAGGCUUACCACUGGUCAACUUACUAAUGUUAGCAUUAGUACCGGGCCUAACGGAUAGUCCUCGAGUAGCCCCCCGUGACCCCCUUUAGUACCGAGUGGAGCCUCCACCCGGUACUAAAGGCCCUAAGGCACAUUAGUACUGGGUGGGGGCUCCACCUGGUACUAAAGGCCCUAAGGCACAUUAGUACUGGGUAGGAUUCCCACCUAGUACUAAAUCUCCCCACCCCCCGCGCGCGCACUGCCUCCUCCUUAUCCGUUAACUCCUCCUCCUCGUUAUCCCUUCCUCCUCUACACACUGCCUCCUUCCUCCCUCUAUCUCUCUCACAUCUCCCCAUCCUCCUCUACUGUCUGCCCUCCCCUCCCCUCUCCGCUCACCUCUCACCAACGGUGAGGAGCAGCGGCGGGGCGAGGUGAGGUGGUGGCGGCGUCAGCGGGUGGCGGGGCGGGGCGGAGCAGAGGUGCGGAGGCGGAGUGGUGGGCGAGGUGGAGCGGCGGGGCAGGGUGGGAUGGCGGGGCUGGCGGCGGAGGGCGAUAGGCGGGCGACGGUGGGUGGGAGGUGGAGCUGAGGUGGCGGGCGGGGCGAGGCAGCGACGGCGAGUGGGUGACGGGCAGGAGGCAGAGUGGAGGUGGAGGUGGGGCGAGGCGGCGACGAUAGGCGGCAGGAGGGGCGGCGGGGUGAAGGGUGGCAGGUAGGACGGAGGCAGAGGUGGAGACGGAGCGGGCCGGCGGGUGGCGGGGCUGGUGGCGGAGGGUGGCAGGACUGGCAGCGGAGGGGGCCAGCAGGGCGGGGUGGGCUAUUAAGGGCGACGGUGGCGGGGCGACAGGGCCGGGCGGCGAAGGGUGGUGGGGUGGCGGGGGUAGGCAGCGGAGGGGGCCGGUGGUAGGGGGAGCAAGGCCAGCGGGAUUUCAUUUUUUUUAAUUUUUUAAUACCCUUUAGAACCGGUUAUCUCAACCGAUACUAAAGGACCCCCCAUAAUACUGAUUUGCUAGUACCGGUUGCACAACCGGUACUAGAUGGGGUUCCUAACAGGUACUAGAGGCGUUUUCUCUAGUAGUGGGGGUAGUGAAUCAUUGAAUGGGCCAGCUGCAGACGUAUCAUGGUAUGGGAAAGACUGGGGUAGUUAUUGUGUCAAAGAUAACCUUGGGCAGGAUGUUGACACUUGCACCAAGGUCGCAGAGGGCUUGAUCAACGUGGAAGUCCUACAUUGAGCAGCUGAUCGCCAGGUACCCUAGUUCUUCGUUCUUGACUGCUAGUUCCUUCCAUGAGUUUCUUCAUCGAUGCCUCGGUCUUCCUGCAUGGUUAGUAGCGGGCAGGUUCUGAAAUAGGUUACCCCAUCUAACAGAGACUGCACUAUCAUUCUCUGGUUGCCCCGCGAUUAUCUGAGUUCAGAAAUGGGAACAUCAUCAGCAAUUUGAGCUAAUUGUGUCUCUAUCAUUUUAUUUAAGCUCACUUGAUUUUUAAAAGCUAAGGAAAGACUUUCAAUUUUAACAUUGAUGGUUUCCAAAGUUUUAUCAUUGGCAGCAAGCCUUUUAGAAAAGGAUUCAUUGAUUUUUUUUUCUUGGCCAAAAACAAGAUCUUUUAGGGAAGGUUGGUUUGAGUUGUAAUUCGAAUUGUAAUUACCAUUAUUGUUACCUCCCUGAUAUGGUGGGCGCGACUGGUUCCACCCUUGACCUCCUUGUGGACGGUACCCGUUGUUGUUGUUGUUGUUCAUGUAGGCGACAUCUUCAUGGGUCUCGAGGCAGCCGUUCCCCGAGUGUCCUCCAUUUCCGUAGACCUUACACGUGAGGUACGAGUCCAAGGCUUGAACAAGUUUGAGCAUGAGUCCUUGGGUCUUCUCCAAUUCGCCCAUGCGCUUGAGCAGAAGAUCUAGCUUAGUGGCUAGCAUGCCCAUUUCCUUGACGGUGUGCCUGCCCCGCGUACGAGAUCUGUUGUACUGAUCUGUUGUGUUGUUCAUCAUAGUAAGAAAUAGGGAAAGGCACUCACAAUGGCAUCCUUCGCUUGCUCAUUAAAACCUGACUUGCUGCUGCAGUGGGUGUCCUUUAAAAUAUCAAUCGCAGUUGGUGGCGCAUCCUUAAAUUAGGUUUGCUUGUGAAAUUACAUACAAACAGAAAAGUAAAUAACUGAAAGCAUGUGAAGAGUUAUUUGUAGCAGCAGGAUAGUAGCAGCAACACAGUUAAUAACAAAAAAGUAAAUUACAUACAGCAGACAGUAUUUUCCAUGCAAUAAGCACCAUUUCUGGACACAUACAACCUCUAGUAUCAACUAAAAAUCACAAAAGUUUGUAAAGAUGCAGUGAUUUAUCUUACCAUGACAUAGCAUUGAGCAACAUAGCUCCGAGAUCAUGUCAUCUGGUGGUACUGAACUAGCUCACAACUAUCUUUGUUUUUCAGACAUUUUUCCUAUAGAAAGACAAACAUUAGGGGACAGACAAUCCAUAUAUUCUGUAAGGCAACAAUUUUGAUAGAUAUUAAGGAAGGGUACCUUGUGCUUUGGGUUAGACCACAUGUCCACGAGUUGUUUCCACUUCAUAUCAGUCAUAGUGGACAGAGGUGAAGUUGUUCUCACUACAUUUGCUGGUAUGCCAUUGAAGUAUUGCUUCUUCAGCUUGUAUCUCAUCUGCCGCUGUCCUUUUUUGAGCAAAUCAGAAAAUGCAUCUUUCACCAGGACAACAUCUUUGUUAAUGGUGAAUUGACUCUAGACAAGAGCAUGCACAUAUCGUUAAACGUCAUUCACAUGAUGUUCUGGGAGUGUGCGGCAGUGGCAGUGGUAGCAACAGCAAGCAGUAUAAACAAGUGUCAACUCUAGAUUAUGCAGCACUAUAUGAUAGAAUAAUUUGAAUAUAGAGAUAGACAAAGUCUAUGAUCAGCAAGAAAAAAUACACAACUUUCUCUGGCUUCUCACGGUUUUCAACAUUGCCAUCAAACACCUUGCUCCUCCUCCAUGGAUGGUCCGUAGGAAGGAAACGCCGAUGGCCAAUGUAACAUAUCUUAUUCCUUAUCCUUUUGGAGCAAGGGUUUUUGUCACAAUGCACACAAGCAUAAUAACCUAUUGUGACUCUACCAGACAAUGUGCUCAAAGCAGGAUAAUCAUGAAUGCACCAUAUUAUAGCAACAUGUAAAUCAAACUUCUUCACUAAGUGCAUCAACAGUAGGGACGCCUUUCCAGUGGAGGGGAUGGAGAACUCAUGAAGAGUCUUCUCGGCCAUAGCCUUAGGAGCGAAUGGUGCUGGAAUGACGGGUUUGGUUGCCGAAAGAACAAUCUAAGCAGGGACGACUCGACGUCGUACCCUUUUCACAAGAUGUUCCGGGUACUCGACGAAGUUGGUCAGCAAGUCGAAACCGGUCAUACACUACCCUAUUUGCAUCCAUCAGGAGAAAACAAAGACAAGUUAGCUUGUAUAAGCAAUGGUUAUACCUUAGUCAUAGAGCCAAGAACAUGUAUUGAUAAAUCUUUUAACCAUUGCCAUCCCUAGCAACUGUUGGAGGUAUGCCCUAGAGGCAAUCAUAGAGAUGAUGAUAUUCCAUUUGUAUCCAUGAUUUGUAUGUUGUGUUCAUUGAAUAUCCAUUGAAGGCUACUUGAAUUGAUUUGCAAUUAUGUGAAUUGUAUGUGAAACUCUUUACUUGUAUGGUUAUUCUAAAGUUGUCCCUAGUCGGGGUUCAUGUGAGGACACACAUGAAUAUUAGACUAGCACAUGUAUUAGUUGAUGACUAUGUUUCACAAGUCAUGGACAUGGAGAUGUUGAACUAAUAAUGUGGACACAUGUGGAGACAUGUGCUAGGACUGACCCAACACGAGAAGUAGUUCUCUCUUUAAACAACAUAUACGCUUUGUCCAUAGACCUGAGAUUGUCGCAUGUAUUCUAGAUGUGGAUCGACCUACUUAGGGGCUAUCAAACGCUACGCCGUAACAGGGUAGUUAUAAAGGUAGCUUUCGGGUUUGUCAAGAAGCAUGCUAUGAGACAUGGUCAAUCAAGAUGGGAUUUGCCCCUCUCUGAUUGAGAGUGAUAUCUCUGGGCCCCUCGAGUGAUCGGAUCCGAAAAUGCAUGGCCAUGCUACGUACGGUUAAGAGUUAACCUACAAAGGGAUUCCGAAUCACAGGAUCGAGAAAGAGCGGUCGGCUUGAAGCUAAACCAAAUAUCGUGAGGCAAAGGGAAUAGCAUGUAUAUUAUGUUGUGAUGGUUCGUCUGAUAUGAUCUUCGUGUGCGUAUAGGAGUUGGCACGUCUUGCUAGAGGCCGCUACCGACUAUUGGGCCGAGUAGGAGUACUCGGGCCAUGUCUAUACGUAUCCGAACCCAUAGGGUCACACACUUAAGGGGCUGGAAGCCCAAUUCGGAUCUGAUCCGAGUUGGAUUAGGUUUAGGAGUACUGAUGGGCCUCGGAUCCAGAGGCCCAUCAGGAACCUCUAUAAAUAGAGGGGUGGGGGCGCCCUAGGGUUUACACCUUUUUGGCGAAACACACCUGACGCGCCUCCCACGCCCUCGCCUGUUGCAACUCGCGGAUCUAGCAAUCCGGCUUGCGACGCUUCCUCCCUGCACGUGUGGAUACCUUGGAGGUGUUGCGCCUGCAGCACUUGGAUGAGUCGCCGAUGAGCCACGACGAGCCGACGACGAGCCGCGGUACCGGAGGCGAUCUUGCUGUGCACGUGGACGAGCUGCUGAGGAGCUGCUGGACGUGAUCGACUACGUACGACUACGUUGAUCGACUACGUACGACUACGUGAUCGUCUUCACUGCAUCGACGCAUAUCUACAUCUUCCGCACCAGUAGUGCGUCGAGUGGUAAUCCCGUGAUCCUUAUACGGCAGUUCUUCCUGGUUAUACGCGGUAGAAAUUUUGAUUUGCGCUAGUGUAGCCUACCUCGUAUCCCGACACAUGCUACGUACGGUUAAGAGUUAACCUACAAAGGGAUUCCGAAUCACAGGAUCGAGAAAGAGCGGUCGGCUUGAAGCUAGACCGAAUAUCGUGAGGCAAAGGGAAUAGCAUGUAUAUUAUGUUGUGAUGGUUCGUCUGAUAUGAUCUUCGUGUGCGUAUAGGAGUUGGCACGUCUUGCUAGAGGCCGCUACCGACUAUUGGGCCGAGUAGGAGUACUCAGGCCAUGUCUAUACGUAUCCGAAGCCAUAGGGUCACACACUUAAGGGGCUGGAAGCCCAAUUCGGAUGUGAUCCGAGUUGGAUUAGGUUUAGAAGUACUAAUGGGCCUCGGACCCAGAGGCCCGUUAGGAACCUCUAUAAAUAGAGAGGUGGGGGCGCCCUAGGGUUUACACCUUUUGGCGAAACACACCUGCCGCGCCUCCCACGCCCUCGCCUGUUGCAACUCGCGGAUCUAGUAGUCCGGCUUGCGACGCUUCCUCCCUGCACGUGUGGAUACCUUGGAGGUGUUGCGCCUGCAGCACUUGGACGAGCCGCCGACGAGCCACGACGAGCCGACAACGAGCCGCGGCACCGGAGGCGAUCUUGCUGCACGUGGACGAGCUGCUGAGGAGCUGCUGGACGUGGACGUGAUCGACUACGUACGACUACGUUGAUCGACUACGUACGACUACGUGAUCGUCUUCACUGUAUCGACGCAUAUCUACAUCUUCCGCACCAGUAGUGCGUCGAGUGGUAAUCCCGUGAUCCUUAUACGGCAGUUCUUCCUGGUUAUACGCGGUAGAUUUUGAAUUGCGCUAGGGUAGCCUACCUCGUAUCCCAACAGUGGUAUCAGAGCCGUAGCUGCUUAGUUUUGGAUUCGGGAUGUGUGCAUAUGGAGAUAUGCGAGUUUCAAUAGAGGGAUAUUGAUUUUAGUGGGAGUAGAUUCUGUUAAAAUAGUUUAAUGUGAUUUGCUCUAUCAUGGAUACGUUUGUCUUAGUGUAUUUUGCAUUACUUUGUUGUAGAUUAAAUGGCACCUAGCAGCACUACACCGUUUGCUUUGCGUUCGGUCCUUGAGAAGGACAAGUUGAAUGGAACAAAUUACUCGGAUUGGAUCCAUAACCUGAGAAUUGUUCUCAGGGCUGAGAAAAAGGAAGAUGUUCUAGACAACCCACUACCAGAAGAACCUGCUGAUGAUGCACCCGCUGCUGCUAAGAAUGCUUACAAGAAAGCAUGUGAUGCUAACCUCGAAGUAAGCUGCCUUAUGCUUGCUUGCAUGGAACCCGAGCUGCAGAUGCAGUUUGAAACAAACCAUGAGGCGCACGAUAUGAUCGUGGUGCUUAGAGACAUGUUCCAAGCACAGGCCAGGACUGAAAGGUUCAAUGUGUCUAAGGCCUUUGUUGAGAGCAAGCUAGCAGAAGGCGCAGCAGUAGGACCACACGUAAUCAAGAUGGUUGGUUACACUCAACGGUUGGAGAAGCUGGGCUUCCCACUGCGCCAAGAGUUGGCCACUGAUUUCAUUCUUUCGUCUCUUCCACCUAGCUAUGGGAACUUCAUCUCGAACUACCAUAUGCAUGGGACGGAGAAGGGUCUGAAUGAGCUGUGUGGCAUGCUUAAAACAGCAGAGGCUGACAUCAAGAAAAGCGCUAGUACCAGCCAUGUGAUGGCUAUACAUAACAAGCCUAGCUUUAAGAAGAAGGGCAAUUCUUGGAAGAAGAAGGGCAAGGCUGGAACGUCCAAGCCAAACCCACCGCCCAAGGUUAAAGCUGGACCUGGACCUGCUCCAGACAAAGAGUGCUUUUACUGUCAUGAACUUGGUCACUGGAAGAGAAACUGCAAGCAGUACCUAGCUUCCUUGAAGAAUGGCGGAAGUAAGAGUACUUCUACCUCAGGUACGCUUGUUAUUAAUGUUAUAGACAACAUAUUUCUCGCUGAUACAAUUAUUAAUUCUUGGGUAUUUGAUACCGGAUCGGUUGCUCAUAUUUGCAAUUUGAUGCAGGGAAUGAUAAGAAGUAGAAGCGUGGAAAGAGGAGAAGUUGAUUUCCACGUGGGCAAUAAUGCAAGAGUUGCUGCGUUGACCGUCGGGACGAUGCAACUCCACCUCCCGUCAGGAUUUAUUAUGGAGUUGAAUAAUUGUUAUUUUGUUCCUAGUUUAAGUCGAAACAUUUUGUCUCCUUCAUGCUUGAUGAAGGAUGGUUAUUCAUUUGCGAGUGAAAACAAUGGUUGUGUGAUCUCUAAGAAUAAUAUGUUUAUGGCUUUUGCACCCAUUGUGAAUGGAUUAUUUUUUUAAAUCUUGAUGGUUAACAUGUCUGUAACGUAAGUGCUAAAAGGCCUCGGCCUAAUGAUUUGUGUCCUACCUACUUGUGGCAUUGUCGUUUGGGUCAUAUAAGUGAAAAGCGCAUGAAGAAGCUCCAUUCUGAUGGACUUCUAACUUCAUUUGAUUUUGAAUCAUACGAGACAUGUGAGGCUUGCUUGCUAGGCAAGAUGACCAAGACGCCUUUCACAGGAUUUCCUGAGAGAGCAGUAGACUUGUUGGAACUCGUACAUAGUGAUGUAUGCGGACCAAUGAGCACGAUGGCUAGAGGAGGAUUCCAAUACUUCAUAACUUUCACUGAUGAUUUUAGUAGAUAUGGCUAUGUCUACUUGAUGAGGCACAAGUGUGAAACCUUUGAAAAGUUCAAGGAAUUUCAGUAUGAAGUUGAAAAUCAGCGUGGCAAGAAAAUUAAGGCCUUACGAUCUGAUCGUGGAGGCGAGUAUUUGAGCCACGAGUUUAACGAUCAUCUAAAGAGUUGCGUAAUUGUUCCACAACUUACGCCGCCUGGAACACCUCAGAGAAACGGUGUGUCCGAGCGACGUAAUCGAACUUUGUUAGACAUGGUUUGAUCAAUGAUGAGCCAGUCGGACCUACCGUUGUCAUUUUGGGGAUACGCUCUAGAAACAGCAGCUUUCACACUUAAUAGGGUACCACCUAAAUCCGUAGUUAAGACACCAUAUGAGAUAUGGACUGGAAAGGUUCCUAGUUUGUCUUUUCUAAAGAUUUGGGGAUGUGAAGUGUUUGUCAAGCGACUUCAGUCGGACAAGAUCACACCCAAGUCGGAUAAGUGCAUUUUCGUGGGAUAUCCAAAGGAAACUUUGGGAUAUUAUUUCUACAACCGAUCAGAAGGCAAAGUGUUUGUCGCUCGGAACGGGGUUUUCCUAGAGAAAGAGUUUCUCAAAGGAGAAAAGAGUGGAAAGACAGUGCAUCUUGAAGAAGUUCAAGAUGAGCCGAUCGGGCAAGAAUCAAUGAGUGAUGCUAACGUAGCAGAACAAGUUGAGAUACCCAUGGCAAGAGAAGCACCGCCACAACCACGAAGGUCGGCAAGGCACCGCGAAAUGCGGGAAAUAUUAUUGUUGGACAAUGAUGAGCCUGCGACAUAUGCAGAAGCAAUGAUGGACCCAGACUCCGAAAAAUGGCAGAGUGCCAUGCAAUCCGAAAUAGAGUCCAUGGGAGACAAUCAAGUUUGGAACUUGGUUGACCCGCCUGAUGGUGUUAAAGCCAUAGAGUGCAAGUGGAUCUAUAAGAAGAAAAAGGACAUGGAUGGAAAUGUUCACAUCUAUAAAGCACGACUUGUCGCAAAAGGUUUUCGACAAGUUCAAGGAGUUGACUACGAUGAGACCUUCUCGCCCGUAGUGAUGCUUAAGUCCAUUCGGAUUAUUCUAGCUAUCGCUGCAUAUUUCGAUUAUGAGAUAUGACAGAUGGAUGUCAAGACAGCUUUCCUGAAUGGAAACCUAGCUGAGGACGUGUAUAUGAUACAGCCCGAGGGUUUUGUCAAUCUGAAAAAUGCUGGAAAGGUAUGCAAGCUUCAGAGAUCCAUUUAUGGAUUGAAGCAAGCAUCUAGGAGUUGGAACAUUCAUUUUGAUGAAGUGGUCAAAGGGUUUGACUUCACCAAGAACGAAGAAGAGUCUUGUGUUUACAAGAAGGUUAGUGGGAGCUCUGUAAUAUUUCUAAUCUUAUAUGUGGAUGACAUAUUACUGAUUGGAAAUAACAUUCCUAUGCUUGAGUCCGUAAAGACUUCACUGAAAAAUAGUUUUUCGAUGAAGGACUUAGGGGAAGCGGCAUAUAUUCUGGGCAUUAAGAUCUAUAGAGAUAGAUCGAGAAGGCUUAUAGGUUUAAGCCAAGAUACUUACAUUGACAAAGUGUUGAAGCGGUUCAGCAUGGAAGAGGCAAAGAAAGGGUUCUUGCCUAUGUCACAUGGCAUACAUCUCAGCAAGACUCAGUGUCCUUCGACUGCUGAUGAGCGGGAUCGCAUGAGUAGAGUGCCAUAUGCCUCGGCUAUUGGAUCUAUCAUGUAUGCAAUGAUAAGUACUCGCCCAGAUGUUUCAUAUGCGCUAAGUAUGACAAGCAGACAUCAAUCUGAUCCAGGUGAGAGUCACUGGACAACGGUGAAAAACAUUCUUAAGUACUUGAGAAGGACUAAAGAUAUGUUCCUCGUCUAUGGAGGUGAGGAGGAGCUCGUUGUAACAGGUUACACCGAUGCUAGUUUCCAAACCGACAGAGAUGAUUCAAAGUCGCAAUCAGGAUUUGUGUUCACGCUAAAUGGUGGUGCUGUUAGUUGGAAGAGUUCCAAGCAGGAGACGGUGGCCGAUUCUACGACAGAAGCCGAGUACAUCGCGGCUUCAGAAGCCGCGAAGGAAGGUGUUUGGAUAAGGAAUUUCCUCAUUGAGCUUGGUGUGUUCCCGAAUGCGUCCAGCCCAUUGAAUCUCUACUGUGAUAAGAAUGGGACAAUUGCGCCAGCAAAGGAGCCAAGGAACCACCAGAAGAACAAACACGUAAUGCGGCAAUUUCAUCUCAUUCGAGACUUCGUUAACCGGGGUGAGAUCAAGAUAUGCAACAUACACACGGAUCUGAACAUUUCUGAUCCGUUGACAAAACCACUCCCGCAGGCUAAGCAUGAUGCGCAUGUAAGAGCUAUGGGUAUUAGGUACCUUCUAGAUUGACUCUAGUGCAAGUGAGAGACUGUUGGAGGUAUGCCCUAGAGGCAAUCAUAGAGAUGAUGAUAUUCCAUUUGUAUCCAUGAUUUGUAUGUUGUGUUCAUUGAAUAUCCAUUGAAGGCUACUUGAAUUGAUUUGCAAUUAUGUGAAUUGUAUGUGAAACUCUUUACUUGUAUGGUUAUUCUAAAGUUGUCCCUAGUCGGGGUUCAUGUGAGGACACACAUGAAUAUUAGACUAGCACAUGUAUUAGUUGAUGACUAUGUUUCACAAGUCAUGGACAUGGAGAUGUUGAACUAAUAAUGUGGACACAUGUGGAGACAUGUGCUAGGACUGACCCAACACGAGAAGUAGUUCUCUCUUUAAACAACAUAUACGCUUUGUCCAUAGAUCUGAGAUUGUCGCAUGUAUUCUAGAUGUGGAUCGACCUACUUAGGGGCUAUCAAACGCUACGCCGUAACAGGGUAGUUAUAAAGGUAGCUUUCGGGUUUGUCAAGAAGCAUGCUAUGAGACAUGGUCAAUCAAGAUGGGAUUUGCCCCUCUCUGAUUGAGAGUGAUAUCUCUGGGCCCCUCGAGUGAUCGGAUCCGAAAAUGCAUGGCCAUGCUACGUACGGUUAAGAGUUAACCUACAAAGGGAUUCCGAAUCACAGGAUCGAGAAAGAGCGGUCGGCUUGAAGCUAAACCAAAUAUCGUGAGGCAAAGGGAAUAGCAUGUAUAUUAUGUUGUGAUGGUUCGUCUGAUAUGAUCUUCCUGGUUAUACGUGGUAGAUUUUGAAUUGCGCUAGGGUAGCCUACCUCGUAUCCCAACAGCAACGGCACCAGAAAUCCUUGUUGGUAUUUCUUAAAGUUACGAAUAAAUUUGCAAGCGCAUGGAUAUACCAUUGUAGCAUUUCACCCGGAGAGUAUUUAGGGUAUCCUUAUUUAUAUUUUUCCCAGAGGAUGGUAUUGGUGUAAAACGAUUUAUCAGAUACAUAUUCAGGACAAUAUGCUUAAGUAAUAGAAAAGAUCAUAUAGGGGUAAGCCAGGAUAAAUAUAUGAGGGUAAUGUGACACACAAGCCAAUCUCAUGAAUAAAGAAUAAAUGAAGAAACCUAAGGUUAGCAAGAGCAAGGCAUACAAGAGGUCCUACUAGCAUCUAUCUAUACUAUCAAGGGUCAUACAAGCACAUGAUUAGAACUAUAUCUAAGCAUACGACAUUACAGGGAGAAAAUACCCAUCCCUGGUCUGCCAAGGCAAGGUAUCUUUUAGAACUCCUACACCAUACUCGAAUGUGGGGGACUAUAAGGGACGGACAUGGAUCUCACCACCUGCCGCCUACCGCAACAGACCAUGGGCACAGUCAUAUUCGAUGGAUCCCAACGCACCUGAGCACCAUGCUCAUACGCAUGAUCACUACUCAAGCCCCUCCGGAACCCCGACCAUGAUGAUCGACAUGCAUAGAACUAGAGCAAGCCCAAAGGCACAAUGAACCAAUGCGGUAAUGUAGAUUUAGCCUAAGCAUAUGAGUAUAACUUGAUAAAGCAGAAGACAUGGCAAAGCAUACUACUGAAAUAGCAUAACAACCAUAUUCUUUGUCCCUCUGACUGAUAUAGAAAUUUCUGAGACGACAUACCAAAACCAACGUAAAGGUGCUGGACUCUCUUUGAUACAUAUUGUAUGUGGCACGUUUAGCAUUUCAACUAAUUUUGGCAAGUACUAACCAAUGGCAUGGUGGGUAAUUUCAAGCAAACUUUUUUUGUUAAUCUCAGCCGUUGAAGUUUUUCUCAACAAUAGAUAGGUGCCUAGAAAAUUUUCUUUUUCUCCAAUUAACGUGGGAAUUUCUAGAGAGUUGGUGAUUAGUACAGGUGCAGAUAGAUAGAUGUCGGCCAUCUAGCUAUGCUAGCAAGCAAGCCUGCAGCAGCAGUACACGCAGUUUCUUUUUUUUCCUAGCCAGCAAAUUCACCAGAGCCAGACACCUAGGCCGACAUAUGUUUUUGCAGCAGCAUCUCUUUCGAUAGUGCAUACACAAGGCGCAUCGUUAAUAAGCUUGGGUGGUAGGUGGCACUGGUAGAGAAUUGGCCUUUAGUCCCGGUUGGUAGGGUGCAUAUCUCUCGAAAAUCCAUCCGGGAUAAACCAACCGGGACAAAAGGGGGGGUCUUUAGUCCCGGGUCUUUUAACCGGGACAGGCCCUUUAGUCCCGGUUGGUGACACCAACCGGGACUAAAGGGGACCCCUUUAGUCCCAGUUGGAUUUCCCAACCGGGACUAAAGGGGUCCCCUUUAGUCCCGGCUCGAUUCCAACCGGGACUAAAUGGCGCUUGCAUGGCACUGCCGUGACGCCUGAAUUUUUCAUGCAUGCAUCACGUAUACGUAGUACCGUGGCCCUUUUAAUUUGUUAACCUUGUAGUUGAGAUUUUUUUAGAAUGAAAUCAACUAGUAUUUAAACGAAUGGGAUUUGUAAUUAUACAAUUACUAUAUAUAUACACAAUCAUUAUACACAAUUCAACUAGCUUAGUACAAAUCGAUCAUAAUUAGCGCGUAUUAUAUAUACAAAUAAAUCAAAGUAUCUUCCUACAAUCUUCCCGUCGUGGUGUUGCUGAUCGGAGUGUCUAAUUGUCGUCCAUCGUAAUAAAAUUCUCCUUUUGGAUUUACCACCUCGUCCAUUAUGAAUCCAAUGAGACCUUCACAUAUUGCCGCUACUCUUUCUUCCUUCAACAGUCCUUGUUGAAUAUUUAACAUCUAUAAUUUGGAAAUUUGUGAAUGUUACAUGAACAAAUACAUAUAAGGAGCUAGAAAAUAAUUAACUAGUAAUAGUUUUAUUUUACGUAUUUUAAAGUUGUGUGGCGUCAUCUUCGGUCCCUUGGGUCCCAAAAAACUGUGCAUGUGCUCACAGAUGUAGUAGCCACAUAGAUUAUUCCCGGGUUCCUGUCUUAAGCACUUCAGUGCAGAAAAAAAUAAGUUAUGAAAUAUUCGUGUUAUACAAUGUCAUAAAUGUGCAGACUGCAUACGUACCGGGAAGUCUGUGUUCCAUGUAAGUUUUUCUUUGAAUGGACCUUUGUGUGUCCUUAUGAAUUGUUUCCAUGUGCUGCGGAUUAGAAUAAUGAAUGAUAUAGUGUAACAGGGAUAAAAUUUAGGAAAUAAAUUUUUGCAUAGAGAUAAAGGUCCAGAAUUAUUACAAGCCUAGCAUGUCUUGCAAUUCUUGGUAGUCCACCGGAUCUUUCCUUAACGAAUCGAAGAUAGUGACGUGGCUUCUUUCAGGCUCAAUUAUAAUAAGGAUCCAGUGGAAGUUGCGUGCGUAAAAAUGUUCAUGCAUAUUAGAGCUAACUAACAUGUAGAGAUAAGGAAAAAGACAUCGAAAGUAGACGGUAUACACACACUUACUUGAAGUUGUAUGGAAGUAGUAUGAAAUCCUUGAAUGUUUGUUUGUGUAGGAAAUUGUAUAUUUCCACAAAGGUUUUUUCCGGCGCUAAUUAUAUCUGUUGUUGGUUAACUACAGAUGGAUCCAUGAAGCCUAUAUGUAGGUACGCAUCUCGGCGGCAUGUCUGAAUUAGCAUCCUACAUGAAAUGGAAGAUGAAGUUAGUACGGUGACGCACGCCAAAAUUUACAUGUAGAGAUAAACGGACACUUACAGAAUCCAAGCGCUGAUCAGAGAGACGUCCAGGGCAUCAUGAUGGUACACUUCAUAUAUAUCCUUGAAGUCUAGCCACAGCACUUUCUCCCCUUCACUGUGAAAAUCUAUCGGUUUUACCUUCAUGCCGAUCAUCUCCCUCGAGUCGGCGGAUGCCAUCAUGUACCAUUGAUGGAAUUCGUACAUCUUUGUUGAUAGCUUCCGUACCAAUGAAGGCUUUACUAGAGGUUUGCCUAGCUCAUAAGGCCACUUCGGCUCAGGGGGCGCUGUAGUUGGCGUCUCAACUUGCCCUAUGCAUUCAUCAAGUCCCAGACCUAUUUCUUCCAUGAACUUCAAUAUAUUUGCUUGUUGAUCCAAGGGCAUUGCUUUUACCCGUUGAGCAUCUUUUUUUGAUAAAUGGCUGAGGUCGGGGACUGGACCGCUGGAAGAUGACUUUCCUUUCCUUUUAUCCUUUUCAUCAGCCUUUACUAGAGCCCGUUCAUAGUUUGACAAGAGUGGUAUCCUUUUCUUGGCUCCUUCUUCCAUCCUGAUAAAAAAGUUUAAAUCUCGCCGACUUACUGGCGGUGGCUCCAUCUCCCUUGCCUUUUUUUCUUCGGCUUGUUUCUUGAACCACUCACUGGCCUCUCGUUGGAUUUCUACCCACUGUUCUUCAUGAGACAUUGCCUCAAAGCGUUCCUUACGAGUCACUUCAGGCUCCUUUGUUUUCUUCUUUCUCUGUCUUUGCUUGGGAGGCGGUGCUCGUGACUUCUUUAGUGGUGCUGCAGGUUCCUUCAAGGGGGCCGCUCUUGGUGCCGGCGACGGUGAUCGGGGAGGGGUGUUGUUAUUGUCGUCGUCGCUCCCAGCACCAGGAUGUGGUGGAGAUGGAGACCUUGAUAUAGAUGGAAGGGACGGUUCUGGAGCAGGAGAUGCCGGUCUCGAGGUAUGAGGAGAAGGUCGUUGCUGGGGAUCUACGGGGAGCGGUCUUGAGGUCUGAGGAGAUGGCUCCGUGCCGGGAAUAAUGAUGUAGCGUUUCUUCCAUAGAAUGAUCCCAUGAAGCGCAUCUGCCAAUGUCUUUUCCCCGUCGCCUCCCGGGAAGUCGAGCUCUAGACCUUCAUACUGGGGAUCAACUAUUUGCUCUACGCAGACGCUGGCGUAGCCUGUUGGAAUGUCCAUGCCAUGACUGCUCUGCCCUGCCAGGGUUGCUAACGCACUCCCGUACGCUACCUGUACAUAUAGCAGAAGUAAACAAGUUGAACUCCGAUCUCGAGGCCUGGAUCAAUUGACAAGAUUGCAUAAAUAUUAUGUAUAAGUAUACCUUAAUAGUGAGGUUGCCGACCGGUGCAUGCAGCUCACAUGAGGUCCGUUGCGUGAUGGCAUCCACGGGGAACCGUUGCUCCUCCACGGGUAACCUGGGCGUCUGCGCAUCGGGGACCCCUGUAGAAGCACAACUGCUCAAGAGGCGUUGAGAAGGGCUGGCGGUGUUAGGAUUCGGCAUUGCUCCAGAUUGGGCCAACUCCGCAACUGCGUGGGCCACCCGUCGAUUGAUUUCAUCCAUCAUUCUUUGUUCUAGCAUCUGCCGCCAGCUCUCCUCGAUCUGUUCCUUUCUUCGCUUCCGGCUUCUGUAAGAGGCGCUGUCGCCUCGGAAAGCGAACUUCCACGGAACCACCCCGAACCCUCGGCAACGUCCUGGGUGCUCUGGAUUACCGAGGGCCAAUGUGAGCUCAUCAUUUUCUCGGUCCACCUUCAACCUCCCAGCCUUAGAAUCUUCAAUGUUCUUCAUGAGAUGUUCGGCCUUCUCACGUAUUGUGUCAUUAAAAAUCAACGUCCCAUCCUCUUGGCUUAGGGAGCCUCCAUGAGCGUAGUACCAAUUUUUUGAUCGUUCGGGCCAUUCAAUAGUUGCAGGUACGAUUCCCUGUUCGAUCAGAUCUUGUUCCAUCUUCCUCCACUUGGGAAUUGCUGAGCCAUACCCACCUCGCCCCAAAUGAUGGUGGUAGCCCUUCUGACUACCAUUUGCUGUGUUGGUCGUGAUCUUUUUCACACCUUCUUCACUCCUCUUAUAUUCAACAAAUGCAUCCCAGUGGUCCCUCAACUUUGGCCACGCGUUGAAGUCUGGAGUUUUGCCCUUCUUGAUGUAGUGGGUAUCCAGCAUCUUCUUGAAUGUCUGGAAUUGAGUAGCCAUCUUCUUAAGCGUCCACGCUUUGACAUCCUUCUCACUAUAUCCUUCGGGGAAUGUGAAAUGUCUCUUCACGUCUUCCCACAGCAUAUUCUUUUCUAUCUCUGGAAGGGUGUACGGAUUAGUGCUUCUGCCCUUCCAUUCUCUGAUGCUGAUAGGCACGUUGUCCCGGACGAUUGCCCCGAUUUGACUCACGUACUUCUUUGCUACUUUCUCGGGAGCAACCGGCCUGCCCUCUUCUGUAACUUCCGUGAUGACAAGCCUCCCUUCCAUCACCUUUGUAUGACCUCGGGUCUUCUGCCCUUGUGUCGAUCCGGAGGGCUAACAGUUCAAGAUUCGUUAAUUAGUACGUAGUAGUAACGGUGGCGUGAAACAAUACAAGAAUGGUUGUAUAUACCUCGCCGGAACCUUCCGCCACGGCAAGUUGUUGCUGCGGCUGUUGCUCUUCAUUCCCAUCGGCGGACAUGUUGAGGAACAUGUCCGCCUGGGUGCCCUCUUCAUCCAUGUAUGAUAGUGGAACAUUGUCGCCACUACCAUCACCAGCGAUUAUCUGCUCCAUGAUAUACCUUGCGGUCUCAUCGUCUGCCAUUUCAACUAUUGAUGGAAACAUACAUGGAAUCAUACAUGACAGUCAUAGAAAUCGUCUUACUACAAAUUUGUACAAAGUCCUACAAAGUCCGGAAUCAUACAUGUAUCUAAUAAAAUCAUAAAAUAACAUGAAUCGUACAAAGUCCGGAAUAUUUAUACAAAUUUCUACGAAUUUUGACGAAUUUCUACAAAUUUCUAUGAAUUUCUAUGAAUUUCUAUGAAUUUCUACAAAUUUCUACGAAUUUUUAUGAAUUUCUACGAAUUUCUAUGAAUUUUGACGAAUUUCUAUGAAUUUCUAACAAUAUCCACGUGCGGUGCCUAGGUUGUGACGCCGGCGAUCAGGGCGGCGGAGGCGGGAUGGCGGCGAUCAGGGCGGCGGUACGGCGGAGGCGGGGACGGUUCACCGGAACCACGGGCGGUGCCUACUAGGUUGUGACGGCGGCGGUCAAGGCGGCGGUACGGCGGAGGCGGGGACGGUUCACCGGAACCACGGGCGGUGCCUACUAGGUUGUGACGGCGGCGGUCAGGGUGGCGGUACGGCGGAGGCGGGGACGGUUCACCAGAACCACGGGCGGUGCCUACUAGGUUGUGACAGGCGGCGGGACGGCGGCGAUCACGGCGGCGGGACGGCGGAGGGGACGGCGAUGCAUCCUACGAAUUUCUAACUUCAUUUUCUAACUUAAAAAUCUAACUUAACAAACUAACUAAAAAAUCUACGGUACAAAUAUAACUUAAUUUUCUAGCUUAACACUCAAAAUUAGAAAUCUAUCGUAAAAAUAUAACUUAAUUUUCUAACUUAAAAAAAACCCUCCCGGCGCUGCCGGCCGGCGCGGCAGCGGACCUCUCGCGCGCAGGGCGGCGGCCGGGGCGGCGGGACGGCAGCGGCUGGGGCGGCGAGGACGGCAGCCGCCGAGGCGACGAGGACGACGGCGGCCGAGGCGACGACGACGGCGGCGGCGUAGGCGGGACGGCGACGAGACGGCGACGAGGGCGACGAGGGGCGACGAGGAUGGAGCCGGUGGCCGGAGGCGACGAGGGGGCCGGGGGCCGGGCGCGUCGACGGACGAGGAGGGGAUCGAGGCGGGCCGGCCGGGGGACGACGACGGCGCAAUGGGGGACGACGACGGCGGCGGCCGGCGAGGGAGGCGGACGGGCGGCGACGGCGGAGAACGCGCGGGAAUUGGCGAAAAUUUGGCUAAGUGUGUAACUGGCGGGGGGUAGAAGGGAGUACAGUGCCUUUUAACCCCCCCCCCCUUUUAUCCUGGUUCGUAAUGGCACCCGGGACAAAAGGGCAUUUUGUCCCGGGUCCCGUCACCAACCGGGAUAAAAGGGGGGGGGGCCUUUUAUCCCGGUUGGUGACGGAACCCGGGACAAAAAGGUGCCCCCGCCAGGUGGGGCUGGGAGCGUACCCUUUUGUCCCGGGUCCCGUCACCAACCGGGAUAAAAGGCCCCCCCCCCUUUUAUCCCGGUUGGUGACGGGACCCGGGACAAAAGGGUGCCCCCGCCAGGUGGGGCUGGGAGCGUACCCUUUUAUCCCGGGUCCCGUAACCAACCGGGAUAAAGGGGGGGCCUUUUAUCCCGGUUGCAGUUGGCAACCGGGAUAAAAGGGUACGUUCGGGCGGGAGACGAAACGUACCCUUUUAAUGGCAACCGGGAUAAAAGGGGGGCCUUUUGUCCCGGUUGCUGUUAACACCCAAGACAAAAGGUCUUUUUUCCUAUUUUUCUUCUCCCGCCUAUUUUUUGGAAAUGGAUUUUAUUUUAUCUUUUCACUGCAUUUCAGGAUGAAAAACAAAACCUUCACAGAUUUUGUACAUGCAAAAAUAUAUUUAAUUAACGAGUAAAUUGACAAUAAGUAUGAAUUAAUCAUUAAUUCUAUACCAGUUCAUUUAGCCUGUAAAAUAUUUAUUUUACUGCAUUGCUGUGAUCAAGAAAUUAUUCAAUUAAAUUAUUUCAAUGCGCAGAAAAAUCCAUGUUAGUAUGUGGCUAAAAAAUCUUCACCUAACAAAUUUAAUAACACAUGAAAUCAUACAUAGGGUAAAUUACAAAUUGUAUCAAUUAAUACACAAAGGUCAUGUACAUUUAACGCAUUACAAUACAAUGUUGUAAAAUUUCUUCUUCACGAAAGUUCCUUGAUCAUGAUCGCGGCGUAAGUACGGAGCCUCUUCUUUGGAUAGCAGGAUGCUUGGAUCAACUUCAACGGCGAAUGGAGGCAUGCCAUCAAACUGAUCAUAAUCAUCUGAUUGGUCUGUUUUAUCCUCGACUCCCACGAUUUUUCUUUUACCUGGAAGAACUAUGUGGCACUUUGGCUCCCAUGUCUCUUCUGGAUUCCUCUUGGGUUUGCUGCACAUGUCCUUCACAUAGAACACCUGAUGCACAUCAUUGGCAAGUACGAAUGGGUCAUCACUAUAUCCAGUCUUGCUCAGAUCUACUAUUGUCAUUCCGUACUGAUCUUUGGUGACGGCAGUUAGCUUCACCCAAUUGCAAAGAAAUAGAGGGAUGUACAGCGGUCCGUAUUCGAGUUCCCAUAUCUCCUGUAUGAAACCAUAAUACGACUCCUUGCUAUUAUUUCUGUCCAUGGCAUCUAUGCGGACACCACUAUUCUGGUUCGUGCUUUUCUGGUCCUGGGCUCUCGUGUAAAAUGUGUAACCAUUUAUCUCAUAGCCUUGGAAUUUGACGAUUGUGGUAGCAGGUCCCCUGGCUAACCAGGCAAGCUGUGGGUGAAUCUCAGAGUUACCCAUAAGUUGUUGGCGUAACCAGGAGGGAAAAGUUUCCAUGUGAUGACGGGUAAGCCAAGCAUCGGAUUUGGUCGGGUUUUUUGAAGCUACCAUCUGCCUGUGCUGCUCGAUAUACGGAGACACAAAGGAUGACUGUUGUAGAACAGUGUAGUGUGCCUUGUCGAACAAAUCAGUGUCAUUGCUCAAACUUGAUUUCCUUCCAAGGGUGCCCAUUCCUCGGAGCCUCCCCUCGUGGCGUGAAGUUGGAACCCCAAUCGAGUCAAUUGAAUCAAUAAAAUCAACACAAAACUCGGUCACCUCCUCUGUUCCAUAUCCCUUGGCGAUGCUUCUUUCUGGACGGGCACGAUUAAGAACAUAGUUUUUUAGGACUGCCAUGAACCUCUCGAAAGGCCACAUAUUGUGCAGGUAUACAGGUCCGAGAAUACCAAUCUCUUUUACUAGGUGAACCAGUAAGUGCGUCAUAAUAUUGAAGAAGGAUGGUGGAAAUAACAACUCAAAACUGACAAGACAUUGCACCACAUCGUUCUGUAGCUUUGAUAGCUUGGAUGGAUCGAUUGCCUUCUGCGAAAUCGCAUUGAGAAACGCGCAUAGCUUUACGAGCGGCAACCGGACAUUUUCUGGUAGAACACGCCUCGGUGCAAUCGGAAGCGACUGGGUCAUCAACAUGUGGCAGUCAUGAGCCUUGAGAUUUGUAAACUUCUUUUGUUUCAUAUUUAUUAUUCCCUUUAUAUUCGAGGAGUACCCAGACGGGACCUUCAUACUAUUCAAGCAUUCAAACAUGCUAUCCUUCUCUUCCUUGCUGAGAGUGUAACUGGCAGGACGUAAGUAGUGCUGUCCAUUAUCUCUCUUUUCCGGAUGUAGGUCAUCUCGUUGCCCCAUGGCUUUCAGGUCCUGUCGUGCUUCCAAUGUAGGAAUCUUUUGAGGUUCCAUAAACACCCAUGAAGCCUAGCACGUUCACGCAAAGAUUCUUCGUCGGGUGCAUCACGUCUAUUGCGUUGCGAACCUCUAGGAUUUCCCAAUAAGGUAGCUCCCAAAAUAUUGACUUUUUCUUCCACAUGGGUGCAUGUCCGUUAUCGUCGUUCGGAACAGGUUGGCUACCAAGUCCCUUUCCGAAGACUACAUAUACAUCCUUCAUCAUCUCGAACACACGCUUUCCAUUACGGUGUGCAGGUUUUUUACGAUGGUCUGGCGCCCCUUUGAAAUGCAUCCCGCUCUUUCUCAGCUGGUGGUGAGCAGGGAGAAAUCGAUGAUGACCCAUAUAGACGACCUUCUUACAGUGCUUCAAGUACAUGCUGUCUGUGUCAUCUAAACAGUGGGUGCAUGCCCGAUAUCCCUUAUUUGUCUGUCCUGAAAGGUUACUCAAUGCAGGCCAAUCGUUGAUGGUUACGAACAACAGUGUUCGUAGAUUAAAGAUCUCUUGUCUAUCCUCAUCCCACACACGUACACCUUCUUCCUUCCAGAGCUGUAAAAGGUCAUCAACCAACGGCCUUAGGUACACGUCAAUGUCGUUGUCGGGUUGUUUUGGGCCUUGGAUAAGCGCCGGCAUCAUAAUGAACUUCCGCUUCAUGCACAGCCAAGGAGGAAGGUUGAACAUACAAAGGGUCACAUGCCAAGUACUAUGGCCACUACUCAACUCACCGAAUGGAUUGAAUCCAUCAGUGCUUAAACCAAACCUUAUGUUCCUUGCUUCACUUUCAAAGUCUGGGAAUGUUCUAUCAAUUGAUCUCCACUGUGCCCCAUCUGCGGGGUGUCUCAGCAUCUCAUCUUCCUUACGGUCUUCUUUGUGCCAUCGCAUCAACUUAGCAUUCGCCUUGUUCCUGAACAAGCGCUUCAAGCGUGGUAUUAUAGGGAAAUACCACAUCACCUUCGCGGGAACUCUCUUCUUGGGAGACUGCCCCUCGACAUCACCAGAAUCAUCUCGCCUGAUCUUAUACCGCAGGGCUUCGCAGACGGGACAAGCAUCCAAUUUCUCGUAUUCAUCACCACGAUAGAGGAUACAGUCAUUAGGGCAUGCGUGUAUCUUCUGAACAUCCAAUCGGAGAGGGCAAAUAAUCUGUUUAGCUUCAUAUGUUGUGGACGGUAAUUCAUUAUUCUCGGGGAGAAUCUUCUUGACAAUGUUCAACAUCCCCUGAAAUGCCUAAUCGGACACACCAUUUUUUACCUUCCAUUGCACAAAUUCUAGUGUCGUACCUAGUUUUUUAUGGCCCUGCUGGCAACCUGGGUACAACAAUUUUUGGUGAUCAUCUAUCAUGCGCUGCAACUUUGCUGCUUCCUUCUCAGUUUCGCAAUCUCUAUAUGCAUCUCGUAUCACCUGACCAAGGUCAUCAGUAGGGUCAUUUUCUGCAAACUCAUCUUCAUCAGCCUCGCCCAUUGUAAUACCUGCAAAAACUUGGCCUGCAACCCAGUCCGGAAUGGUGUCAUCUUCCUCCUCCUCCUCGCCAUCUUCCAUUACAACCCCUAAUUCACCGUGCUUGGUCCAAACCAAAUAGUUAGGCAUGAAACCGUCUGCAUUGGUUGAGAAAGAUUGCAGACGUUUUACCCAUAUAGCUGUCUGCUUAAAGAUUCAUUCGCACACCUUUCACACGAUAGCCGUCGGUGUUAUGAGAGGACUGGCUUUUGGCGAGUGCUAGAAAUUAGAAACCCAGAGGUUAAUCUAGUAACGGCCUAGAAUGUGAGGCAUAGGUAGUGAUCAGGACUCAAGACAGUGGCGGGGCGGGACAAAAAAACCUUUUAGAGCCAGGGCGAACAUAACAAUUAGUAACAAGCUAGCAAGUUCACCCAAACAUAUCACAAACGUAUCGACCCUUGUGAUGCAAAUUGGGAACAUCGUGUUGGAAAGACUUCAGGUAUUCAAAGUUUAGUGGGAAGGCUCGGUGAGGGAGAAACAGUAUGGGAGAAUUAUUGAUCAACAGGCGUAUACAUGUCAGGUUUGAAGGUUGUUAGCUAGAUGGAACAAAUUAAAUGUACAACUACCAGCUAGCGGCACAUCUGCCCACAUAAGGCUAGAAAUUCUUGGGAUUGGCACAAGUAGCACUAAUGACAUUCUUAAUGGGGUUUCAUGGGCAUUAAAUGUUAGCAUUUUUGAUGAUGUGGCAGUGUAUUAAUGAAGAGGGAGGUGAAAUGAGUUUCAUUAUGAUGAAACCCUGUGUAUAUUAUUUCCGAGACAGCUUGUGUCUUGCAUGUAACCUAGGAAACAACAAGAGAUGAAACUAUGCUUGAGGGGAGGUGUUUCAUCCCAAUUUCAAACAUUUUUAGAUGAUGUGUCACUCUAGGUAAUCGUGACCAUAAAACUCCCACUAAGAAUAGCCUAAAUGACUUUGAGUAGCAAGUUAUCUACCAUGUCACAAAUAUAGUAAUGUCACAAAUAUAGUAAUAUAUCAAAUUGAAGUAAAAGAACAAAAAAUUUAACCAUGUUUUCAUUCAUUGCAUCCAUCCACAGAAACUUUUGAAGUAAUAUUCUAGAUAUUUUAAAGGCAGCCUAUGCUCCUGUAGAAUCGCCAGGGGUAUUACAUAUCUAUCCAUGAAUUUAACCAUUCUUUCUACUAGCCCAGCCAUCUCCAUCGAAACAUAGCAUGUCCAUUCAUUCAUCCAUAUAUAGCAUUCAUCCUUUCAUCUGUAACAUAUAUAUUAAUGCAUUCUUCAUGAACAUAUAUGUUCAUAAGAUUCAUCUAUAGCAUAUUCACCCUAGCAUAUUCAACUUCAUCCAUUUAUCGCUUGUUCCAAGUACAAAAUAGGGCCAGAGAUGCACACAUAUAUAAAAGUACAAUUCAAAUACAGUUCCAGAUACUGAGAGAUGGUAAGCUGAUAGGUAGAACUAAUCACCUCCUGACCUCCAUGGGAAAACUGGGAUGUUCAUAUGUAGGAGUAGGAUCAUGGGAGACUUUACCGGGGUACCUCGGCAGAUAAUAUGAACUCUUGCUCCAAGCUGUAGCAUCUUCGGCUUAGUUGGUCUAGGCUACAGCCAGCGAGAGGAGCAGCAUUAACUCUAGAAGACAGCAACUGCUGUAUCUCUUGAUCAUCUCCUUGAGCAACUCGGGAUAGCUUUGACCUUUUCGCAUGCAGCGUGUGCAAUGUCAUCUCCACUUGCUUCAUAGUAGGUCUCUCUUCACCUUGGAGCCUUAGACACAUCUCUGCAAGGUGUGCAACACUGUUGAUUUCUUCCUCAGUUGCUUCUUCACGAAUUUGUGCAGUAACUAUCUCUUUUAUUGGCCUUGACUUCAACUCGCAGAGAAAGUAACUUGACAAGUUCUGUUUUGAGCCUGACUGAGUAGUAAAAAUGGGCUCCUUUCUGACGAGCAACUCAACAAGUACAACACCAAAACUAUACACGUCACUCUUUUGAUUCAGUUGUCCAGUUCGGUAAUACUCUGGAUCUAAAUAACCAAAUGUGCCUUGUACAUUUGUGUUAACAUGGGUCUGGUCAAUAGGAACUACCCUUGAAGCUCCAAAAUCUGAAACUUUAGCAGUGUAGUUUGCAUCAAGGAGUAUAUUAGAUGACUUGACAUCACGAUGGAAAACCAAUACAGAAGCUGCAGAGUGGAGAUAGCAGAGAGCGCCUGCUACUUCUAGGGCAAUUCUUAGGCACUCAUCCCAUGACAAAGAGAAAUUGCUAUCUGAACUUGAAUGAAGAAUAUCAUAUAAUGAACCAUUGGGAACAAAAUCAUAUACCAGCAAUGGGACCUUGGUUUCAAGACAGCAUCCGAAUAGUCUUACGAUAUUUCGGUGGUUUAUAUGUGAAAGAAUAAUCACCUCAUUAAUGAACUGGUUGAUUUCACUUUGUUCGAUAGCCUUAGAACUUUUUAUGGCCACCACUCGCUGAUCAGCUAAGAUGCCUUUGUAUACUGUGCCAUGUCCUCCACGACCCAGGAUACGUGUUUGAUCAAAGUUAUGUGUUGCCUUUUCUAAAUCUUCUAAGGAGAAUAUUUUUGUCUUGUCACUGGUAUUUUCGUCCAAUGAUAUUAAUUGUUCUAGGAGAAUACCUUGGUUGUCCCGGAAAUAUUUCCUGCGUUGUUUCUUUUGCUCAUCUCUUUUCCAUUUAAGGACAAUAAAUACAGCACUUAAGCCCAGAAGAGGAACACCAAAACCAACACCAAGGCCGAUCAUGAUACCUAUCAUAUGCACAAUUAUUGUUCUCGAUUUUUUUUCUGUUUUUUGAAUUAUUACGUGAAAUCUAUUGGUCACGAACUCACCUAGCAGAAGACGACUUUUUUGCCUGUUCGUUGGAGUGCACCCCAUUUUUGUGGCAUCAUACUCUGUUUUAUGAGGACAUUUUGUGCAAUAGAAAGCUCCUAUAGUAUUAUGGCACAAUCCUUUACAAAUGCCCGGUAUAGUUUCACACUCAUUGAUAUCUGCAUCCACAUGUUAGUUUGUUACGACAAAUCAAUAAAAGCAAAACUAUAUAUAAAUGUGUAGAAAUAUAUAUGCACAUUCUUGUGUGGGAAUAACCUUGGCAACCGUUCCGGACAUACGGGUUUCCGUGAAAUCCAGUCAAGCAUCUGCAUCGAUAGCCAAGAUAACCACUAAUUCUUAAGCUGACACCCAAGCAAGUACUGUCAGCACUGACGCAUGCAUAUGUAGUGCUAUCCUCUUGCGCCUCUUGGCAGCUAAGAUUGGCUACGACCCAUUGUAAUUCUUGAGUUCUUAUUGAACCGGUGUAGAUACUUUGCAUUCCUCCAUAAGAAAAUUCACCCCUAUUUAUUGUUUCAAUUGUCCCUUCGUUGAUAUUGAUCUGCCGUAUUUCGGAGUACAUACUAAUAAGCUCAAGUCUGGAGGAUCUCAUGUCGAUGCAAUGGAGCUGAAAUUGCUUCCUCGCAUAGCAGCCUUCUUCUAGGCCAAAUGGAAAUGGAAUGCUGAUGUUCCCACAUGAUCUACCACAAUUCGCCUUCCAUUCAACAGGAUUAUACCCUGUUCAUUGUAUAGGAGGCAAUAAUCAAAACUCCCAUGUUUAAAUAGUUCUGGAAGAAAUAAAAAUUAUGUUACCUCGAUCACGGGAGCAGCCAUCUGCGACAUAUGGAUUGCCAGCAUACCCGUUAUGGCACAUACACUGGUAUGAAGGUGACAUCCCGGAGUAGGCGUCAAAGCAUCUGCUAUGAUCACUGACACAUGCGUAGUUUGUCUUGUUAGAUGCGGCAUCGCAAUUUAUAUUACGUCGAUCCAGUACAAUGCCCCACAAAAGCAGCAUGUUGUAAGUUUCGACCCUGAUUGUGUCCCAUAGCAAACUCUGAUUGGUGUGUUGCAUUUCCCCUUUGGUCUUGCUUUUGCCGCGGUCGUACCUGACAAACUGGAGCUCCAAGGAAACAACUGUGUGGGAAAACAUUGAACGGCAGCAUCCAGUACCGUUGCACUGCUGCUUGGCAACGCUUUCCGGGAUCCCAUCGUUAGGGCAGUUAACUGUGCAUAUCAAUUCCCUUGAGUUAACGCCAUCUAGCAAAUAUAUAUCAAAGUCACAGCCAAUGAAGCUCAGUUCUAUGACUCGUGUGCCAAUAAAAGAUGGUCCAGGUACUUUCCAUGACAUGUUGUAGGCAUCCACGCCGGAUCUCAUUUGCCUGGAGUGCGAAAUGGCGACGCGUAGUUCUGUUAUUUACCAUAAUCUAUGAAAUGAGGAUUUGCUACUGGGGGAAACCAAGCACAUGAAACUGAAUUGUAGCCACAAUAAUACAUGCUAGCAUAUUUUAAUCUGCUUCAAGUGUGCUAACAAAACCCUACAUCUAUGUAGGAGAUCGGUAACUAAUGAAACCAAUUUCAUGCACCAAGGACUCCAGCGUCCACCGGGCACACUACGGGAAAGCUAGAAAUUGCCGAGUGUAUUUUUUUUGCCGAGUUUUUUUUUUCGAGCACUCGGCAAACAAGCUCUUCGCCGAGUGUUUUUGGGGCUUUGCCGAGUGCCCCAGGCACUCGGCAAUGUUCCUGUCUCCCGUAGUGGCAGCAGGGAAGAAAGACAUGUAUAUUGUGGUGUUUUACUCUCUGUCAUUGUAGCAUUACGUUUCCUUUUUUUAAGAAACAUAACCCCGAUGUAUCUAGAUGUGCUUUUACCGUUCACAAUAUAUGUGGUUCCGCAUAUUAUGUUCAUGAUAAUACUGUCUUUUUACGGCUAUGUGGCACUGCAAAAACAGUUAUUAAACUUUUCAAAAAAGAACAAGCAGUAAGUAAACUUUACAUGCAUACUUUCAGAUGUGAUACUUGCUAACUUUCUGACUUCAACCAUAAGUUCACGAGAUCCAAUCCAAUAAUUUAUUACUAGUUAUAUCUUUAAUUUUUAUAAAAACCAUGCAUGCAUAGUAGCAUAUUCUCAACAUCUAAUAACCGACAAAUUCUUACACGAGGAAGUUACUGUAUAGCGCUCUGAGGACCAGUACGACAGAAGGAACACUUGAUUUUGGGUUAAGAUGUGAUCGAUUCAAUUUUGGGUUCAUUUUAAUUUGUUUUCUAAUCCGAUGUGAUAGAUAUUGAUGUGGUGAUGACUUGAGUACAUACACUUUCCUAUUAUUACUUCAGGUUAUGCGCUUGGUACAAGCGCGCAUAGCACUCUAAUCUGACUAGUUAAACUUAGUUAUCACCUGUCAUGUUUAUAUUUUUUGUGCUAUCUACCUGUGCAAUUGUUUGCGUGUGUACUAUGUAUGGUUGUAUGCGUUAUAUUGAGUUGGACGUUUGAAGUGGUUGAUACAUGUGUCAGUGUUCCCAAUUUCAAUUAAUGAUUCCCAACCAUAAUCGACAUGUUCCAAGUUGAAUUAUUUCGUUUCCGACAUCCCGUAUAUCUGAUUUUGCUUUCCCAACCUGGCUCUCCCGACUUUGUUAUUCCCGUUCCCGAAUAAAAAUUUGAAAAUGAAAGUGGUUCAAGUCUUUUCCCAAUCGUUCCUGACCGUUUUUCAUCUCGAUGAGUGAUUAACGUUCCGUUGAAAUGGUUUGACGGCUUCUUCUAUGAGCAUAAUUCAAUUAUGUUAAGGGUGCUUAUGUUUAAGACUAAAACCAGGUUGGUGAAGGAGUUCAUAUGGAACAUGGUGUAGAAAUAUUGCCAUGUUGGCUUAUGAUGUCUAUUGUUUAGGUGGAAUAUGUCGGUCAAUGGGAAGAAAAUAAAGUCCAAGCAGAGGCUUGGGGUGUGGGGUUAUGGAUAAGGAUGUCAGGUGAAGUCGUCUCUGAACCAGGGUUCCAAACCCACUACCACAAGAAAUGGUCACUACUAUUCUCGAUGGUAGUUUCAUGAGCAAUAAAUGAGCUGCAAUGUAGGUAAUUGUAAUGACAUGACACAUUAUUUAUAAGGUGAGAGAAGAAACAAGUCUCAUGCUGAUGAAACCAUGUGUAUACUAUUUCCAAAAUAUUUAUAUCUUGCAUAUAGUUUCGGAAACAACAAAUAAAUGAAAUAAUGCAUUGUGUAGUACAUUUUAUCUAUGAACUAAAUCCACACAUGUUUAUGUGGUAUUUUUGGAAACGUAAAUAUGAAACCAUACAUUGAGAAUGGCCUAAUACCAAAUGGCAUUCAAAACUUAUCUACAAUAUAAUUGUUAAUGAUGGUUUUUAGGCCGGACUUUCUGCACGGGCUAAAACUCCUUCAAAUAUAGUCCAAGAUAUACAAAUGGUGUUUUAAGGAAUAUGUCUGUGAACAUUGUAGAUGGUUUUCUAUGUAAAAAGUGUACUGGUAUAUAUAAUCAUUACACAUUGUUUUUUUGGGUAAAACAUUUUGGGAUGUACAGUCAUGACAGUGUCUUUUAAAACUACUUUUGUACUAAAGUCAUUGGGCGGUAUUUCAAAAAUAUGUUAGUAAUUCAUAACAUAAAUUAACAUUUAUUUUUUAAUUAAGUUGACUUUGAUAAUACAAUACGAUGGAUAUAUCAUGCCCACCCACAUCUCUAAGAAAUUUAUUUAUGAAGUGUUUGCAAAGUUUUUAGCCCCAGUGACUGGAACCUAAACCAUUGUCGUCUUCAUCUAUGUAGUACUGCUUAAGAUGCUACAAUUAUGGAAAUUCCAUUUUGACCAGGCCUAAAUCUUUUGCAAAUAAUCUAUAAUUUUACUAGAGAUAGGAUCCUAUUGAAGUUUGUGAAUGCUACUGGAGAUGUGAUAUUGCGGAGAAAUAUGUUGGCUCAAGCAAUAAGUUGAAAAGCACAAAAAGAACAAGGAAGAAUCCAAGAAAUAGAAAAUAAAGUAAUUCUAACCUCAAAACAAUCGUGGGAACAUGAUUAAGAAGCUUGCCAAGAGAACAAAUUUGGCAUGCUACUUAUAUCCAUGAGGAAUACUACAAGUCCAUCAAGUGCAAGAGCAAGAAGAAGGGAAGACAAAGAACACAACCUCAAACACCAAGACCCACAUGAAUGCUAGAAAAGAGCACACCAUACUUUCUCAAGAAGAAAAACCGACAUGUCUACUAGGCUCGAAAGGACAUGAACAAUUUCUUUGACUACUGGUGCAAUAGCUACAUUUUAGAGAGGGGACCAUAAACACCCCCUGACAUGAACAAUUUUAAAUGCUGGAUGCUCGCUUAUGUGCUCAUGUACACACACGAGUGGGCACACACGAACACAUUGUACACACACACAAAUGCACAUGUGCGUGCACACUCACACAGCAAGUAGCAUUCAAGCCACCCAAGAGCUCAAGAGUUGACCAAGGCAGUUAGCACAAGCUUCUAGGUUGAUUGGUUCUACAUUAGGAUUUUCGUACAUCUUCCUAGAGUAAGGAGAGGUUAUAUCUCUUAUUCCCAUGUUUGUUAUUGUUGGUGGUCUUAAAUAUCUUACUGACCACCAACAUCUCGGUGAUUAAAGUGGGUAUAAAUAUACUUUUAUGCAUUACUUGUUUUGAACUAACAAAUUCCAUCAAUUUUGGUGGUUUGAAAUGUUUUGCAGGAUUAUGGUCAAAAUAUGCAAGAGACAACACUAGAUGGAGCAUAUACAAGGAUGGUACAAAUGGACAUAAGAUGGCACCAUCGGAGACAUUGUCAAAUGCCAAAUUGGACAUCACCAUGUUGAAGAACUUGUCAAUAUGAGUGAGUUGGAUAUAUGGUUCGCCCAAUUCAAAGUCCCAAUGCAAAAGUUAUGCAAUUCGGAAGUUCCGCGACUAUGCUGCAUGGAAGUAGCAGGCUAGCCAGCCCCACACUUUUGUCAUACCUCGCCACAAGGGAAAUAGGGACCCCCCCUAAUGGACCCCUAUGCACUGGAGGAACGAGCAAAUUCCAAGCUGACGACCGAAAGCUUCGACCAAGGAUUGGAUGGCCACAACUUAGAGCAAAAUCAACAAAAAAUCAUCGAAAUGAGGUGUGGCUAGAUCUAUUAUGGCCAUCCACCACACAAUGGAAGUUGAUUGGAUGGCUUUGGUGGAAAUACUAGGCCGGUCAGCCUAACAGCUUCGGUGAAAUGGACCGAUCAUUCUAGGAGAGCUCGCUAACCUCCUCUAGAAGCUAAAUAUAUGUGGACUAAAGCAAGGUUGGAGAAAUCAUAGGUCAGUCAGCUAAGCAUUUCAAUGGAACUGCCUUCAUCUUUCUGUGGUGGCAAUCAACUGAUGUGGGGAGACUUGAGGUGGUGUCUUUCUCAUCCAAGGUGGCAAGAGGAGAGUGUUUGGAGGGGAAGAUUCUCUUUGGAUUCCAAGAGCAUCUCCACUAUCCCAAGCCACCUUCAUGCUAUAAAUAGGACUUCUCACCCUCGUUGUCAUUUGUACCUUCCUUCACCACUUCCCUGCCACUUUGGGAGGCAUCCUUUGGGUGGCAGCGUGGCGCUUUCUCGUGUAAUUCAAAGGUUAGUUCACGAGUUAGAGUCCAGAGCUCUCUUCGGUUCCAAAGUUACCUUUAGGAGUCUAGGUAUGAGUUCCAUUAUAUCUUUACUUUCUUGUAACACUUUGCCUAUUUAAUACAAUGAUCUUUCUGCAUUUCCACCAUGUCAAGUGUUUACAUUCCGCAAUCCAUACUAAUGCCUAGAUUAGUAGUGGAAUAGUUGUAGAGCUCAGUAGUGGGGCUGUGUUGCUCUUUUCAUUCACAGGAUCCCUUGUCCGUGUAGGUAGCAAGCCCUACCUAUUCUGCGAGUGCUCUCUGCCUUAGAUCACGGUUAGAGUAAGUGACUAGAUUGGUGAGGCAUGGUGUCUAGGCUUGAUAGUUACCUUUGGGUUGUGUCCUACCCCAUGGAACUAAUUUGGAGAGGCAUUGGUGAGGUUGGACAGCCCUAUACAUCCUUUGUAUUCCACCAUGUUCGUGUAGUUUCAUAGGAGUAGUAGUCGACUAUUUAGGACACCCUUCUCAUCCCUGUCUGAGUCUUUUGCUAAGUCCACCAAAGUGAAUGAAAGAGAAUGCUAGUCCGCAUUCCCACUGUCUCUGGGUUCUAUAGUAAGCGUAUGUAUCCUUUGCUACUAUAAGUCUCGAGCAGUGCUAUCAUAGUAUCCAUUUCGUGCACCUUGGCAUGAGACAUAGGAACAAUCCAUCAAACCAUGCUCCUGUCUCGUUUACCUCCAGGCUAUCUUUACCAUUGUGAUGAGGAUGCGUACCGUUAUCUUUCCCUACCUUCCAUAUCAUUUAUUUGGAAUAGUUGAUAAUAUCUAGAUUAAUUAUAAUCUAAUAUCCAUUCCUCAAUUGCUUCCCUUAGGAAAUACAAUAGGUUGGAAUACUCCUAGGUGAAAUGCUACAAUGGUGUUUCGUGUGCUUGCGAAUUUAUUCUAAAGGCUUAACAAACGUAAUGAGAUCACCAAAUUUAUCCUAGGUGAAAUGCUACAAUCUCAAGGCUCUUGUGGCUUUGAAUGUCUUAUGAGGUCCUCCAACUGCAAUAGUGCAAUUGCCAUGAAGUUCGCAUCAAACGUACGGAUGGUAGCAUUAGGGAGAGACCAGUUCAGAAACGACUUGCGCAUAGGUAAGUUACUAUAGCUACCAUUGCAAUAACCUAAUUGGGAUACAUACCCUUGGCGGGGGUUGGGGGUGGGGUUGGGGGUUGGGGCUCUAAUGAAUUGUUGAGAGCGUGAGUUUUAUGGUAAUUAAAAAAAACAGCAUGUCUAAUCACCUGUCUUCCCCUUUAAUUUCUGCAUUGCUUAUUGUACUUUGAAAUCUGCAAAUCACCUUUCUUAGAAUUCUUUCAUGAUGAUGCUUAUAAGAUUAGAACAUAGGGUGUAAAGGUUUGAUGUGGUAAAGGGUAUGGUAGCACCACAAAGAAUAACCUUAGUGCACAUGUUGACAGAAAUUAUGUAGAUUCUAAUGCAAAAGAUUUAAAUUUCUUAGAUUGGUAACUCUCCAUUCUUAUGGUAUCUUAUCCCUUCAAUGUCUCGGUCACUACGGCCCGCUAGGCCGUAGUUAAAUUUGGUGAUCGGUAACAACAUAGUCACUAGGAUUGAGAUGUUUGUCUAGUAAUGCCUUGUUAGGCUUUACUAGGAUUGUGUGUGCAGGUGCUAUGUAGACAUUGUGGAAAGCAAGAAGCAAUAUGGUGUUCAAGGCGAGAAUACUGAGCUCUCUGGUGGCAGUGAUCCACAGGUUGCUCAUGUAUCUCAAGUAAUGGAAGCCAUUCUCCUUCUGAAGGAGAAGGACGAGAACUUAUGUGGCGGAGAUCAUUAACAAGAUUGCCACGGGGUUGCAGCUGCCUAAGUUUUGGAAUUUUUUUUUGUCUCUGCUGUUUCUGCUGAUGUAUGGCAUUGGGAGUGCUUAGCGUUACUUGAGGUGGAGCUCCAGUUGACAUUUGGUUUGUCGCGCGGUCUGCUGUGCUGCUUUGUUUGCUCUGACUGAUGCAAAACUGGUAAACCCUGUGUUCAUUCGACCUUUUUGUAAACGCUCUGUUGGACAAGUUAUGGCUGCCAAAAAAAGUGUGACUAACAAAUUGAAGCCGCAGUUUUAGCAAAGUUUGACAAUAAUAUAUAUCUAUAACAUGUGAGGUAUAUGGCUAAGAAACUGUGGGCAAACCGCAACAAUUGAAGUGAAUCAAAACAAUAGACUAGGAAUCUAUGAUGAUACGCACUAGUAGAGAAUAGAGUUUCCAUCCAGCGGUUUUAGUUCCGGUCGUUUCUAGACCCGAGAUUAAAGAAGAUUUAGUCCUAGGUCUAAAUUUUAUAGUCUCUCGGAACCCUUUUAUUCCUGGUUGAUGGUUCCAAUCGAGAUAAAAGUGGAGCUUUUACUCCCGGUUAGAGCUACCAACCCAGAUAAAUGAGCACGGAACCUAUUAGUCCCAGCUGGUGGCUUCAACCGGAACUAAAAGAUCCCUUUAAAUCCCGGUUGGAGCAACCGAUUGGGACUAAAUAUUUUUACCGUAGGCAGUCCCUCUCUCUCCAACUUAUCUUCUCUCCUCCUCUCCCUUUCUCCCUUAUCUCCUCUCCUUUUCUCCUUUCUCUCUAGGCACAGGCGUUAUCUCUAGGCGAAGCGCGUGGAGGGGGGCACGAGCGGCCCAAGCCGCACAGCUAGCGCAGGAGCGCACAAACUGGCGGGGCACGCGGUGGCUAGGUCCGCCUCCCGCAGCCGGCCUGCUAAGGGCAUUGGGGCGCCAGCGGCUGUGGCCAAGGCCAUGGCCAGCAGGGGUGCGGCUCCCCACGGCACGCGACCCAAGGUAGGAACACGGUGGGGGGCACGAGCGGCCGGGGCCGCACGGCUGGCGCGGGAGCGCACGGGCCGGCGGGGCAUGCAGAGGCCAGGACCACCUCCCGCGGCUGGCCUGCUAGGGGCGGCAGGGUGCCGGCGGCCGUGGACAAGGCCAUGGAGCGGCGCGUGACCUGGAGGCAUGGCGGCCGUUGCGGCCCAGCCUCCAGUGGGGGUGCAGCUCGCCGCGGCGCGCGGCUGGCGGUAGGAGCGCGACGGUGGGGGGCACGAGUGGCCGGGGACAUGCGGCAGCCGGGCCCGCCUCCCACGGCCGGCCUGCUAGGGGUGGCGGGGCGCCGGCGGCCGUGGCCAAGGCUAUGGAGUGGCGAGCGGCCUACGGCAGGAGCAUGGCGGUGGGAGCACCUGGGGCCACGCGGCUCACUUUUUUUAUUUUUAACCUUUUUUGUCCCGGUUGGUGUUACCAACCGGGACUAAAGAUUAGGACCUUUAGUCCCGAACGAUUAGUCGGGAUUAGAUUUUUGAGACCUGAACUGAAGCCCAGUUUUCCACUAGUGACACCUAACCUCUGGCGUGGCAGCGUUAGGCAUGAAGCAAACUGAUGGGCCAGUAGCGUGUUUGGAACACGCCCAACCGCGCCGCGCCUAAGGUGUGGUGAACAAAAACAUUUGCCACACCUGCAUGGAGCUGCGGAGCACAAAUGAACUAGCAGGCUGCAGCGUCUCCGCAGCACGCCUAACACCAUCGUGCCAAGGCUGCAGUUGCGGCACGGCAAGCUAUGGCAUGCUUAGGCAUGAACCAAACACAGCGUAAGUUUUUGGUCAAAAGUUUAUAGACAAAUGUUAAAAGUUUGACCAAGGCCUUGUUCAAAACAUGAACAUUUUGACGAGCGGAGGGCGUAGGUAGGAUGUUGUUUGCCGCUGUAAUAUGCAGAACCAUACUAGUAUGUCUAUGUGCGUACCAGGUCCGUCUAUGCUGAAGGUAUCUGUUGUAUCGAUGUCGUGGAGGACCUCCGUGUCACCGUCCCUGAGGAAGAGCCUGGCGGGCUGCGUGGUGUUGUUGCAGAUGAGCUCGAAGUCGGGGUCCCGGAAGCAACCAGCACCGAUGCCGAAUGGGUACGUGAAGCUCAGGUUGCCGCACGUCUUGGAACAGCCUGCGAGCGAAGCCGUAGAGGGAAUGGUCCCUCUGCUGGAUCCUUGCGACGCUGCAGACACAAGUAGAAGCAGAGCAGCCAGCAGCAGUGCAUCAAGAGCAAGGAGG
rnacentral:lncRNA from 1 species